rnacentral:rRNA from 1 species
CGCAUCUGUGCAUGCAGCAUAUCAAUAAGCGGAGGAAAAGAAACUAACAAGGAUUCCCUUAGUAACGGCGAGUGAAGCGGGAAGAGCUCAAAUUUGAAAUCUUCAAGGUUUUACCUUGACGAAUUGUAGUUUAAAGAAGUGUUUUCUGCUGAAGUUUUGGUAAAAGUUCUUUGGAAUAGGACAUCAUAGAGGGUGAGAAUCCCGUAUUUGACCAUUAUUUUCAGCUUUAGUGAUACACUUUCAAAGAGUCGGAUUGUUUGGGAAUGCAGUCCAAAAUGGGUGGUAAAUUUCAUCUAAAGCUAAAUAUUGGCGAGAGACCGAUAGCGAACAAGUACCGUGAGGGAAAGAUGAAAAGAACUUUGAAAAGAGAGUUAAACAGUACGUGAAAUUGUCAAAAGGGAAGCGUUUGACACCAGUGUUGUUUUCUCGAAAAUCAAUUAAAAAUGGCUCGAUUUUGUAUUGCUUGAGACCUUAAAAGCUCACUGUACAUUUUUCGUGUCUUUUUUAAUGCACUUUUCGUUUAACAAGUCAACAUCAGUUUCUUUUGUCGUAAAAGGGUCAUUGGAAGGUGGCUUUCUUUUCGGAGAAAGUGUUUAUAGCCUUUGGCCUCUGCAAUCGGAGAGACUGAGGUCUGCAGCGUAGACUCUUCGGGGUUAGAUACAUUUGUGCUAAGUUAUAGCUUUUUAUAGACAACUUGUUGACUAUAAUUAGUCUUGUAGCUUACUCGCUUAUGCUAUUUUACCUACGCUUAGGAUGUUGACGCAUGAGAUAUACGC